CACGCCGUAAACGAUGAGUGCUAAGUGUUGGAGGGUUUCCGCCCUUCAGUGCUGCAGCUAACGCAUUAAGCACUCCGCCUGGGGAGUACGACCGCAAGGUUGAAACUCAAAGGAAUUGACGGGGGCCCGCACAAGCGGUGGAGCAUGUGGUUUAAUUCGAAGCAACGCGAAGAACCUUACCAGGUCUUGACAUCCUUUGACCACUCUAGAGAUAGAGCUUCCCCUUCGGGGGCAAAGUGACAGGUGG
rnacentral:rRNA from 2 species